UACGGAGGGUGCUAGCGUUGUUCGGAAUUACUGGGCGUAAAGGGCGCGUAGGCGGCCGUUUGCGUCGGAUGUGAAAGCCCGGGGCUCAACCUCGGAACGGCAUUCGAUACGGGACGGCUGGAGACCGGGAGAGGAGAGUGGAAUAGCCAGUGUAGAGGUGAAAUUCGUAGAUAUUGGCUGGAACACCGGUUGCGAAAGCCGCUCUCUGGCCCGGUUCUUACGCUGAGGCGCGAAAGCCUGGGGAGCAAACAGG
rnacentral:rRNA from 1 species